rnacentral:rRNA from 1 species
AGCGAACGCUGGCGGCAUGCUUAACACAUGCAAGUCGAACGCAUCGUUCGGGGUCAGGGGCUGACGGGGGAGUAACACGGGGGAUCGUACCCUUGUAUCUGGGAUAACUUCGGGAAACUGGUGCUAAUACCGGAUACGACCUUUUGGGGGCAGGUAUGCUGUCGAGGGAGGGGCCGGAGUGUUACUAGGUGGUUGGUGGGGUUAAGGCCUAACAAGGCGGGGAUCAGUAGCUGGUCUGAGAGGAGGAUCAGCAACACUGGGACUGGGACACGGCCCCGACUCCUACGGGAGGUGGCAGUGGUUGAUAUUGGGCAAUGGGCGCAAGCCUGAUCCACCCAUGCCGGGUGAGCGAUGUUGGCGUUAGGGUUGUAAUGCGCUUUUGUCCGGGCCGAUAAUGACGGUACCGGAAGAAUAAGCCCCGGCUAACUACGUG